rnacentral:rRNA from 1 species
UACAGAGGUCCCAAGCGUUGUUCGGAUUCACUGGGCGUAAAGGGUGCGUAGGUGGUCGGGUAAGUCUGAUGUGAAAUCUCUGAGCUCAACUCAGAAAUGGCAUUGGAUACUAUUCGGCUAGAGAGUCGGAGGGGGGACUGGAAUACUUGGUGUAGCAGUGAAAUGCGUAGAUAUCAAGUGGAACACCAGUGGCGAAGGCGAGUCCCUGGACGACUUCUGACACUGAGGCACGAAAGCUAGGGGAGCAAACAGG